GAUGAACGCUGGCGGCGUGCCUAAUACAUGCAAGUCGAGCGAACAGACGAGGAGCUUGCUUUUCUGACGUUAGCGGCGGACGGGUGAGUAACACGUGGAUAACCUACCUAUAAGACUGGGAUAACUUCGGGAAACCGGAGCUAAUACCGGAUAAUAUUUUGAACCGCAUGGUUCAAUAGUGAAAGACGGUGUUGCUGUCACUUAUAGAUGGAUCCGCGCUGCAUUAGCUAGUUGGUAAGGUAACGGCUUACCAAGGCAACGAUGCGUAGCCGACCUGAGAGGGUGAUCGGCCACACUGGAACUGAGACACGGUCCAGACUCCUACGGGAGGCAGCAGUAGGGAAUCUUCCGCAAUGGGCGAAAGCCUGACGGAGCAACGCCGCGUGAGUGAUGAAGGUCUUCGGAUCGUAAAACUCUGUUAUUAGGGAAGAACAUAUGUGUAAGUAACUGUGCACAUCUUGACGGUACCUAAUCAGAAAGCCACGGCUAACUACGUG
rnacentral:rRNA from 1 species